GGUCAAGUGAAGAAGCGCAUACGGUGGAUGCCUUGGCAGUCAGAGGCGAUGAAAGACGUGGUAGCCUGCGAAAAGCUUCGGGGAGUCGGCAAACAGACUGUGAUCCGGAGAUGUCUGAAUGGGGGAACCCAGCUGUCAUAAGACAGUUACCUUACACUGAAUACAUAGGUGUAUGGAGCGAACCAGGGGAACUGAAACAUCUAAGUACCCUGAGGAAAAGAACAUCAACCGAGAUUCCCUUAGUAGUGGCGAGCGAACGGGACCAGCCCUUAAGUUGAUUUGAGAUUAGCGGAACGCUCUGGAAAGUGCGGCCAUAGUGGGUGAUAGCCCUGUACGCGAAAUCUCUUGUCAAUGAAAUCGAGUAGGACGGGGCACGAGAAACCUUGUCUGAACAUGGGGGGACCAUCCUCCAAGGCUAAAUACUACUGACUGACCGAUAGUGAACCAGUACCGUGAGGGAAAGGCGAAAAGAACCGCGGAGAGCGGAGUGAAAUAGAUCCUGAAACCGUAUGCGUACAAGCAGUGGGGGAGCCCACUUUGUUUGGGUGACUGCGUACCUUUUGUAUAAUGGGUCAGCGACUUAUUUUCAGUGGCGAGCUUAACCGAAUAGGGGGAGGCGUAGCGAAAGCGAGUCUUAAUAGGGCGUCUAGUCGCUGGGAAUAGACCCGAACCCGGGCGAUCUAUCCAUGGGCAGGUUGAAGGUUAGGUAACACUGACUGGAGGACCGAACCGACUACCGUUGAAAAGUUAGCGGAUGACCUGUGGAU
rnacentral:ncRNA from 1 species